rnacentral:rRNA from 1 species
CGAACGGGUGAGUAACGCGUAGGUAACCUGCCUUGUAGCGGGGGAUAACUAUUGGAAACGAUAGCUAAUACCGCAUAACAAUGGAUGACACAUGUCAUUUAUUUGAAAGGGGCAAUUGCUCCACUACAAGAUGGACCUGCGUUGUAUUAGCUAGUAGGUGAGGUAAUGGCUCACCUAGGCGACGAUACAUAGCCGACCUGAGAGGGUGAUCGGCCACACUGGGACUGAGACACGGCCCAGACUCCUACGGGAGGCAGCAGUAGGGAAUCUUCGGCAAUGGGGGCAACCCUGACCGAGCAACGCCGCGUGAGUGAAGAAGGUUUUCGGAUCGUAAAGCUCUGUUGUAAGUCAAGAACGGGUGUGAGAGUGGAAAGUUCACACUGUGACGGUAGCUUACCAGAAAGGGACGGCUAACUACGUGCCAGCAGCCGCGGUAAUACGUAGGUCCCGAGCGUUGUCCGGAUUUAUUGGGCGUAAAGCGAGCGCAGGCGGUUUGAUAAGUCUGAAGUUAAAGGCUGUGGCUCAACCAUAGUUCGCUUUGGAAACUGUCAAACUUGAGUGCAGAAGGGGAGAGUGGAAUUCCAUGUGUAGCGGUGAAAUGCGUAGAUAUAUGGAGGAACACCGGUGGCGAAAGCGGCUCUCUGGUCUGUAACUGACGCUGAGGCUCGAAAGCGUGGGGAGCGAACAGGAUUAGAUACCCUGGUAGUCCACGCCGUAAACGAUGAGUGCUAGGUGUUGGAUCCUUUCCGGGAUUCAGUGCCGCAGCUAACGCAUUAAGCACUCCGCCUGGGGAGUACGACCGCAAGGUUGAAACUCAAAGGAAUUGACGGGGGCCCGCACAAGCGGUGGAGCAUGUGGUUUAAUUCGAAGCAACGCGAAGAACCUUACCAGGUCUUGACAUCCCGAUGCUAUUUCUAGAGAUAGAAAGUUACUUCGGUACAUCGGUGACAGGUGGUGCAUGGUUGUCGUCAGCUCGUGUCGUGAGAUGUUGGGUUAAGUCCCGCAACGAGCGCAACCCCUAUUGUUAGUUGCCAUCAUUCAGUUGGGCACUCUAGCGAGACUGCCGGUAAUAAACCGGAGGAAGGUGGGGAUGACGUCAAAUCAUCAUGCCCCUUAUGACCUGGGCUACACACGUGCUACAAUGGUUGGUACAACGAGUUGCGAGUCGGUGACGGCGAGCUAAUCUCUUAAAGCCAAUCUCAGUUCGGAUUGUAGGCUGCAACUCGCCUACAUGAAGUCGGAAUCGCUAGUAAUCGCGGAUCAGCACGCCGCGGUGAAUACGUUCCCGGGCCUUGUACACACCGCCCGUCACACCACGAGAGU